rnacentral:rRNA from 1 species
AAUGUACGCUGGCGGCAGGCCUAAAACAUGCAAGUCGAACGCCCUAGCAAUAGGGAGUGGCGCACGGGUGAGUAACAUGUGGGAAUAUGCCUUUUGGUACGGAACAACGUUUGGAAACGAACGCUAAUACCGUAUGGUCCCUCCGGGGUAAAGAUUUAUCGCCAAAAGAUUAGCCCGCACUAGAUUAGCUAGUUGGUAAGGUAAUGGCUUACCAAGGCGACGAUCUAUAGCUGUUCUGAGAGGAAGAUCAGCCACACUGGGACUGAGACACGGCCCAGACUCCUACGGGAGGCAGCAGUUAGGAAUAUUGGACAAUGGGCGCAAGCCUGAUCCAGCCAUGCCGCGUGAGUGAUGAAGGCCUUCGGGUUGUAAAGCUCUUUAGCCGACGAAUAUAAUGACUGUAGUCGGAGAAUAAGCCCCGGCUAACUUCGUGCCAGCCGCCGCAGUAAAAC